rnacentral:rRNA from 1 species
UACGUAGGAGGCAAGCGUUGUCCGGAAUACUGGGCGUAAAGCGCGUGUAGGUGGUGGGACAAGUCUGCUGUGAAAGCGCCUGGCUUAACCGGGCGAGGUCGGCGGAAACUGUCCGACUAGAGGACGGUAGAGGGGGGUGGAAUUCCCGGUGUAGCGGUGAAAUGCGCAGAUAUCGGGAGGAACACCAAUUGCGAAGGCAGCUCGCUGGGACGUUACUGACGCUGAGACGCGAAAGCGUGGGGAGCAAACAGGG